CCUACGGGUGACAGCAGUGGGGAAUAUUGGGCAAUGGGCGCAAGCCUGACCCAGCAACGCCGCGUGAAGGAAGAAGGCUUUCGGGUUGUAAACUUCUUUUUAGAGGGAAGAGCAGAAGACGGUACCUCUUGAAUAAGCCACGGCUAACUACGUGCCAGCAGCCGCGGUCAUACGUAGGUGGCAAGCGUUGUCCGGAUUUACUGGGUGUAAAGGGCGUGUAGCCGGGGUGACAAGUCAGAUGUGAAAUUCCCGGGCUCAACCCCUGAACUGCAUUUGAAACUGUUUGUCUUGAGUAUCGGAGAGGCAGGCGGAAUUCCUAGUGUAGCGGUGAAAUGCGUAGAUAUAAGGAAGAACACCAGUGGCGAAGGCGGAUUACUGGACGACAACUGACGGUGAGGCGCGAAAGCGUGGGGAGCAAACAGGAUUAGAUACCCCGGUAGUC
rnacentral:rRNA from 1 species